rnacentral:rRNA from 1 species
AUGUUGAUGCAAGACUACUUCGCGAAUAGUCCAACCUAUCCGCCGCACCUCUUUCGGAGAAGGUAUCAAAUGUACCGAUCACUCUUCGUAAAAAUUGUGCAAGCUUGCGAGGCCAAUUGCCGAUUUUUCAAUCAAAGGAGAAACACCGCGGGCUUGUUGGGUUUUAGCGCCUACCAAAAAAUCUCCGCAGCUAUGCGCGUGAUUGCAUAUCGUAUUCCGACUGACUAUGCCGACGAGUAUCUUCGCAAUUGUGAAGAUACUACAAUUGAGUUAGUGCGUAGGUUUGCCAAAGUGAUGAUCCGUUUCUUCGGUCCUAUCUAUCUUCGCGCACCCAACAAGAAAGACACAAUAAAAUUUAUGGCAGCAUGA